rnacentral:rRNA from 1 species
GUGCAGCAGUCGCGAAACCUCCGCAAUGCGCGAAAGCGCGACGGGGCCAUCCCGAGUGCCGUCCGCUGAGGACGGCUUUUCCCCAGUGUAGACAGCUGGGGGAAUAAGGGGAGGGCAAGUCGGGUGUCAGCCGCCGCGGUAAUACCCGCUCCCCGAGUGGUGGGGACGCUUAUUGGGCCUAAAGCAUCCGUAGCCGGCUGGACAAGUCCCCUGUUAAAUCCAGCGAUUCAAUCGCUGGACUGCGGGGGAUACUGUCCAGCUAGGGGGCGGGAGAGGCCAGCGGUAUUCCCGGGGUAGGGGUGAAAUCUUAUAAUCCCGGGAGGACCACCAGUGGCGAAGGCUGCUGGCUGGAACGCGCCCGACGGUGAGGGAUGAAAGCUGGGGGAGCGAACCGGAUUAGAUACCCCGGUAGUCC